rnacentral:rRNA from 1 species
AACCAGAAAACCGCCGCUUGAAUGAAAGAGUUUUUCGGAUUGAAAAACUUUGUUUUUAAGAAAGAACAAGGAUGAGAGUAAAACGUUCAUCCCUUGACGGUAUCUAACCAGAAAGCCAGGGCUAACUACGUGCCAGCAGCCGCGGUAAUACGUAGGUGGCAAGCGUUGUCCGGAUUUAUUGGGCGUAAAGCGAGCGCAGGCGGUUUCUUAAGUCUGAUGUGAAAGCCCCCGGCUCAACCGGGGAGGGUCAUUGGAAACUGGGAGACUUGAGUGCAGAAGAGGAGAGUGGAAUUCCAUGUGUAGCGGUGAAAUGCGUAGAUAUAUGGAGGAACACCAGUGGCGAAGGCGGCUCUCUGGUCUGUAACUGACGCUGAGGCUCGAAAGCGUGGGGAGCGAACAGGAUUAGAUACCCUGGUAGUCCACGCCGUAAACGAUGAGUGCUAAGUGUUGGAGGGUUUCCGCCCUUCAGUGCUGCAGCAAACGCAUUAAGCACUCCGCCUGGGGAGUACGACCGCAAGGUUGAAACUCAAAGGAAUUGACGGGGGCCCGCACAAGCGGUGGAGCAUGUGGUUUAAUUCGAAGCAACGCGAAGAACCUUACCAGGUCUUGACAUCCUUUGACCACUCUAGAGAUAGAGCUUCCCCUUCGGGGGCAAAGUGACAGGUGGUGCAUGGUUGUCGUCAGCUCGUGUCGUGAGAUGUUGGGUUAAGUCCCGCAACGAGCGCAACCCUUAUUGUUAGUUGCCAUCAUUUAGUUGGGCACUCUAGCGAGACUGCCGGUGACAAACCGGAGGAAGGUGGGGAUGACGUCAAAUCAUCAUGCCCCUUAUGACCUGGGCUACACACGUGCUACAAUGGGAAGUACAACGAGUUGCGAAGUCGCGAGGCUAAGCUAAUCUCUUAAAGCUUCUCUCAGUUCGGAUUGUAGGCUGCAACUCGCCUACAUGAAGCCGGAAUCGCUAGUAAUCGCGGAUCAGCACGCCGCGGUGAAUACGUUCCCGGGCCUUGUACACACCGCCCGUCACACCACGAGAGUUUGUAACACCCGAAGUCGGUGAGGUAACCUUUUGGAGCCAGCCGCCUAAGGUGGAAGAUAGUGUU